rnacentral:ncRNA from 1 species
CACCUGCAUGAAGACGCGGCACUGGCCGCACUUCAUACCUCCCUGUUGGACUUCGGCCGAGCUUAGUGCUCGGCCUUUUUU